rnacentral:rRNA from 1 species
AUUGAACGCUGGCGGCAUGCUUUACACAUGCCAGUCGAACGGUAACAGGCCUUCGGGUGCUGACGAGUGGCGCACGGGUGAGUAAUGCAUCGGAGCGUACCCAGAGGUGGGGGAUAACGCAGCGAAAGCUGUGCUAAUACCGCAUGUGAUCUGAGGAUGAAAGCGGGGGACCGAGCAGCAAUGUUUGGCCUCGCGCCUUUGGAGCGGCCGAUGUCGGAUUAGCUAGUUGGUGGGGUAAAGGCCUACCAAGGCGACGAUCCGUAGCUGGUCUGAGAGGACGACCAGCCACACUGGGACUGAGACACGGCCCAGACUCCUACGGGAGGCAGCAGUGGGGAAUUUUGGACAAUGGGCGCAAGCCUGAUCCAGCAAUGCCGCGUGCGGGAAGAAGGCCUUCGGGUUGUAAACCGCUUUUGGCAGGAACGAAACGGUGUCCGCUAAUACCGGGCGCUAAUGACGGUACCUGCAGAAUAAGCACCGGCUAACUACGUG